AGUAUAGUAUAUUUCAUUUCAAAUUCAUAUAGUCGUUAUAUAUGGAUACUUAGGUGCUUUUUCAUAAACUGAAAUACAGAGCACUUCGCAUAUAGUGAUAAUCUGUGCAGGACUGUCAGCGAUUGAUCACUAUACAGUUUUCACUAUCAGCAGAGUGUACUGUAUACAGUAUUCACUAACAGAGUGGUGUAAACAGUAUUCACUAUUAGCAGAGUGGUGUAUACAGUAUUCACUAUUAGCAGAGUAUACUGUAUA
rnacentral:lncRNA from 13 species